GUUAAUAAGAGGGAUAAAAAAACAUGUGGACUCAUUAGCAUGAGGAGUGCGAGAUCACAUCACAAAAACAUGUAGCCUGUGACAAAGAUGAGCUUAACAACCAGUGCCUGGAGGAAGAAUUUCCCACAUGCCCCAGGGAGAGGGACUUCUGGCAGAUCCAUUUUUACCAAGAAUCUUUUGGCAGGAAAAAAAGUGAAACUCUGCCACUAGAAUUUUGUGCCUCCAGACAGCAAAACAUUGACUGAGCAGCUGGAAAAAUAUGCAGGCUCCUUCACCUGGGUUGCCUGGGAG